rnacentral:rRNA from 1 species
AACGCGAAGAACCUUACCAGGUCUUGACAUCUUGCGCCAACCCUAGAGAUAGGGCGUUUCCUUCGGGAACGCAAUGACAGGUGGUGCAUGGUCGUCGUCAGCUCGUGUCGUGAGAUGUUGGGUUAAGUCCCGCAACGAGCGCAACCCUUGUUACUAGUUGCCAGCAUUAAGUUGGGCACUCUAGUGAGACUGCCGGUGACAAACCGGAGGAAGGUGGGGACGACGUCAGAUCAUCAUGCCCCUUAUGACCUGGGCUACACACGUGCUACAAUGGACGGUACAACGAGUCGCGAACUCGCGAGGGCAAGCAAAUCUCUUAAAACCGUUCUCAGUUCGGACUGCAGGCUGCAACUCGCCUGCACGAAGUCGGAAUCGCUAGU